UUGAAAAUAAAAACAAGAAAGGGAGUAAAUUAAAACACGUGUAACAGAAGGAGGACUGAAAAAACAAUUUACCCAAACCACCCAAAGCAUUGCGCAACAUUGUAUUAAAUCAAAACAUUAAUAAUGUUUCAUGGAAAAAUUUGAAAACAAACAACAAUAAUUUUGAAAUGGUGGGAUAAAAUGGAAGGAUUAAAAGCGUAAAUAACCCAUCAGUACUUAAAACCCUUUUCAAUCUCAAAUUUAAACGCUAUUCUGCAGCAGCAAUAGCUUUAAAAACUAUUUCAUCUUCUUCCCAACUCUUCACGCCAAAACCCCCCUCCCCUUUUAACUUCGAUUUGGACAAAGCGAAGAAAACUAUGCCGACGGCGCGCCUCUGCUGGUGAAGAACGUGCAUGGUGGGUGUGGGGAAUUGCUGAACGUGGGUGGAAACCGUUGCCAUGUCGUGGGCAGUUGCUGCGGCACUGAUUUACUUCAAUCUGCUUAGGGUUUCUGCUAUACCCUAUGUUCUUUUGGGCUAACAGGCUUGGGCUAGCAAUUUGGGCCUUAUUAGGCCGAAUUUGGGUUGUAAUAUGGACUCCCACUUAGUUUUAUUUCAAAUUGGGUUUUAAUGGGCCCGGGCAAAAUUGGGUAUUACAAGUAGUAUUCUAGCUAAAGGUAAAACUCAAAAGGGACAGAGAAUUGUUAAAAAUUAGAUUUCAAAUUCCUACUCUCCAUCAAACAAAAAUGAACAGGGAAGUGACAUCACGAGAAAGCAAGAACUCAAUAGAGAUUCGAUGUCAGAUUCGACUAAAAGUCAAGGGAUUGAACUGCACGCUAGGUAGAUAGGAGAAUAGGUUUCAAUGGAGGAGAAGGUUCUUCCUUCUGCGUUUCAAAUCUCAUCCUCGGUUAAGGGACAUUGCUCAUCAAUAAGGAAGAAUGGUCAAUAGAGUCACAUUUUAUCAGAGGGGAGCAAAAGUGAUAGUUUUGAGUCAAGACAACUCCGACGGUCAAUAUCGCCCAGAGCUAAGUGGUCGAAAUCAGCUGAGAUACAACUUACGGUCAGGUAAAGACGAGGAAGAACCCACCGGUAGUGAUAUUACCAACACCGGUCUUCAACUUUCACAACUACCACUCUUCAGGAUACCAAACCAAAAGGCUCCCACCUUGAUAUCAGGAAGAGAAUCGAAGGUGGGUAAUGGAAGUCCCAGUAGCAAGUCUCACGAAGAGGAUUCUCGAGGUUUAACUAGCAAACACUGUAACAACCUAAUUUUUAGUGGUGUCCAAAAUAGUGGUUACGGGACCACAGAUCCGACGAGUAAAUUCGUAAAUAUUAUUAUUUAAUUUUACGAGUCAA